UACGUAGGGUGCGAGCGUUGUCCGGAAUUACUGGGCGUAAAGAGCUCGUAGGUGGUUUGUCGCGUUGUUCGUGAAAACUCACAGCUCAACUGUGGGCGUGCGGGCGAUACGGUCAGACUGGAGUACUGCAGGGGAGACUGGAAUUCCUGGUGUAGCGGUGGAAUGCGCAGAUAUCAGGAGGAACACCGGUGGCGAAGGCGGGUCUCUGGGCAGUAACUGACGCUGAGGAGCGAAAGCGUGGGGAGCGAACAGG
rnacentral:rRNA from 1 species